GGGACACGUGGUAUCCUGUCUGAAUAUGGGGGGACCAUCCUCCAAGGCUAAAUACUCCUGACUGACCGAUAGUGAACCAGUACCGUGAGGGAAAGGCGAAAAGAACCCCGGCGAGGGGAGUGAAAAAGAACCUGAAACCGUGUACGUACAAGCAGUGGGAGCACGCUUAGGCGUGUGACUGCGUACCUUUUGUAUAAUGGGUCAGCGACUUAUAUUCUGUAGCAAGGUUAACCGAAUAGGGGAGCCGAAGGGAAACCGAGUCUUAACUGGGCGUUAAGUUGCAGGGUAUAGACCCGAAACCCGGUGAUCUAGCCAUGGGCAGGUUGAAGGUUGGGUAACACUAACUGGAGGACCGAACCGACUAAUGUUGAAAAAUUAGCGGAUGACUUGUGGCUGGGGGUGAAAGGCCAAUCAAACCGGGAGAUAGCUGGUUCUCCCCGAAAGCUAUUUAGGUAGCGCCUCGUGAAUUCAUCUCCGGGGGUAGAGCACUGUUUCGGCAAGGGGGUCAUCCCGACUUACCAACCCGAUGCAAACUGCGAAUACCGGAGAAUGUUAUCACGGGAGACACACGGCGGGUGCUAACGUCCGUCGUGAAGAGGGAAACAACCCAGACCGCCAGCUAAGGUCCCAAAGUCAUGGUUAAGUGGGAAACGAUGUGGGAAGGCCCAGACAGCCAGGAUGUUGGCUUAGAAGCAGCCAUCAUUUAAAGAAAGCGUAAUAGCUCACUGGUCGAGUCGGCCUGCGCGGAAGAUGUAACGGGGCUAAACCAUGCACCGAAGCUGCGGCAGCGACGCUUAUGCGUUGUUGGGUAGGGGAGCGUUCUGUAAGCCUGUGAAGGUGUGCUGUGAGGCAUGCUGGAGGUAUCAGAAGUGCGAAUGCUGACAUAAGUAACGAUAAAGCGGGUGAAAAGCCCGCUCGCCGGAAGACCAAGGGUUCCUGUCCAACGUUAAUCGGGGCAGGGUGAGUCGACCCCUAAGGCGAGGCCGAAAGGCGUAGUCGAUGGGAAACAGGUUAAUAUUCCUGUACUUGGUGUUACUGCGAAGGGGGGACGGAGAAGGCUAUGUUGGCCGGGCGACGGUUGUCCCGGUUUAAGCGUGUAGGCUGGUUUUCCAGGCAAAUCCGGAAAAUCAAGGCUGAGGCGUGAUGACGAGGCACUAC
rnacentral:rRNA from 1 species